rnacentral:sRNA from 1 species
UUAGCCUAGCAAGCUGCCCUCUUGCCUUGAAGGCCAUGGAGACCCAUCAAGCUGCAGGCAGGAGGCUGUGUCUGACAUCAGGGCCCUCUCCCUUUCCCAUCAUCCUCUCCUGCCUAUUCCUGAGACCUUCCAGUCUCUGGCAGCCCCAGUAUGAGGAAAAGCCUGGAAAGUGGGACAAAGAAAGAGGGUGUGACAGCAGGAAGCCUUAGAGCAUCAGGGGCUUAUGGAGUAGGAAUGUCUCCUUCCCCGUCAGCCCCUUGGAGAUAGAUGGCUGUUGGACUCAUGGAGAACCCAGCUUCAUCCUGAGGGCAUUGGCAUAAGCCUAGGCUGUCAAGAAGGAAGCAAUCUAACUCCAUCAUUCUCCUUGCUAUGCUAUACCACAGGCCCACAGUCAUGGAGCAAAACGACUCUGGAUUAAAACAUCUUAAACCACGAGUAGAAGCCAAUAAUUCAUCCCUUCCAGUUGUUCUCACAAUCAUGAAAACACAAGAGACACAGAUGGAAACAUGCAGUGGAAGAGCACCGGCCCUUUGCCUUCCCUUCAUUGGCUCCUGCUCCCCAUUCUCUGCCCAGCUUUGGUGAACUUCCCAUCAGAAGCCAUUUCUCGCCAGUUGCAAUGCCCAUUCUUAGACAACCCCCCUGGGUCAUAGGUGUGCCUAUGAAUACAUUCUAUUUUUGAAUGCAUAGUGCCGUGCUAAUUGCUGGACUCACAUCAUUAGUAAUGCUUAGAAUCACCCAUGCCAUUUGAAGCAUUUCCACUUCAAGAGGAAAGACCUGCAGUUCAGCCGCAAGCGACUCACCUACAUCAGGCGGCUAGGACAAGGCAGAGUCAGGAUGGAGCACUCCCUCUACCUGACAUCCUGGCCUCGCCCUUUCCACUCUGUCAGUCUGAUGAGAAAGUACAGCUGUGAGUGCUCACAUCCCCUGUGAGUGCUGCUGAAGUUAUUACUAAUAACUAGAAGGCAUUACAAAAAGAACGAUACAACCAGUUGACAAAUAUAAAAAUCCUUUGACCUUCUGAAACUGAGUUCUGAACUUGGAAACUUGUAUCUUCAUUAUGCCUGAAGAGAGGUCUGAAUACCUUAGGAGUCUAGGGCCUCUCUCCAACGUGUGCUUCACUAGCCCUUCCUGCUGCAGCUUCAUAGCACCUGCCAACUUGAACUUACACCAUUUUCGUGUGCCUGAUGAGUGGUCUUUUUUCUGUGCCAGACUGAAAAGCAGCAUGACUAUUUAACGUAUUGUAUAAAUAGGACCACCUCUUGUAGCUCAGGCUGGCCUUUAAUGCCUCGUGUAGUCAAGGGUGACCUUGAAAUUCUCACCCUCCUGCUGAGUUCUGGGAUUGUAGGCUGGUACCACCAGGCUCAGUUUUGGGGCAGAGCUGAGGAUGGUAACCAUGGCUUCCUGCAUAGUAGACCAGCACUCUUUCUACAGUCCCCAUGCCAGGAACACAUUUUAGAGUAAAACCAGAUGCUAUCAAUAAUUACAACAAGACAAUAACUGGAGCAAGGGUUAACCUAUUCCGGAAGUAGACGCCAGUUCUGGGUUGUUCAUCAUUAGUCUUGGUGCCAUGUUCCGUACCCACCACAGAACAGACACUGGGUAAGUAAGUGUGAGCUGUGGCCACUGCAUGAAUCCAUAGAUCCUGCAUCUUCCCCAGCCAGGCCUUUCAUGGCUUCUUGUCAUCUUGUCCCAGCAUAACUCUAAGGCAUCUCCCCACAGAACCCAUUCUAGACAUAUACAGGGGUCUCUCUUUAGCUAGCCUUGAACGGUCAACUGUCAUGAAUCCGUCUCUGUUUACUGUGUUCUUCUCACAUCUAACCCUCCUACCUUUAACAGAAUUCCCCAUGUACUGCCUCUCCUCCGUACCCUCCCUCCUGUGUGCACCUGUGUAACAACACAACCCCACUGUGUCACCCUUAAACACGAAUCUUGGCAGUGACUACACGGAAAAUCUGUUCAGGUUGGAUCCACCCUUUCCAGUGUCAUAUAUACAGUAAGCCUGAGAUAAGUGCUUGCUGAAAGAACAAAAAGAGGUUGGAAAUCCCUGUGGCUGUCAACAGUCAAGUAUUAGGAAGGAGUAAGACUUUGAACUCUAAGAUGAUGAGAUCUAUGUGGCUAGGAAUAGAUACUUCCCACUGGGCUUGUGAUAAACACACAGCCAACCAUUGUUCUUAUUAGUAUGAAUUAUUCACAUUAUCAGUCAUUUGCUUUGAUGUGUCCUUUCACUGUGCUUCCUCGAUCUUUGGCAACACUGGUGCCAAUUCUCUGCUAUUUAUUGAGCCUCAGUUCCCACCAGUAUUUUCUUCUAUUCAACCCAACUGUCUCCCCUGCCUUCUGUCUGCCUGGAUGUACCCAGAAAGUCCUUCCUUGACAGACAAGACAUCCUGGCAUGUCUCACCAUGUCCCUCAAGAUGCCUCCAACUGCUGCAAGACUUCUUGGAUCCUCCACCCACCCCUUGGCCAGGCUGUGGAUAGUCUUUAAAGACCUUUCACAGAGUAUCUGUGCUAAUAUUUACAUCUCUGCUUAACUAGGCUGGCCUCAGCUGC